rnacentral:lncRNA from 1 species
CUUUAAAAUAUCCUUGUCAUUUAUAUGGUUAAAAUAGUUUCCUUCUUUGAGAUAUUUUACUUUUUGAACUUUCCUUUUUUUUUUUUUUUUUUUCAGGAAGCCAUGGGCCAUUUACUGUGCAGUUUGUGCUCUCAGGUACUUCUGUUCCUUGCUGACAGGAAUUCCUUGUGCAGCUCAGACUUGAACCUUCUUGGUAGGCUGGAAUGAAGAGCAGCUUCUCCUGAAUUCUGUCGAAUUUGGCAGCUGUUCCACACCUCUAAACUUGAAUGUUGCAGUAAAGUCAACCCCAAAGUAAGCAACACCUACUUGGGGAAAGUGAAGGUGAGUUUUUCGCUGAGUGACAAUGAAAACUGAGCAAUUAC